ACUCCUACGGGAGGCAGCAGUGGGGAAUUUUGGACAAUGGGCGAAAGCCUGAUCCAGCAAUGCCGCGUGAGUGAAGAAGGCCUUCGGGUUGUAAAGCUCUUUUGUCAGGGAAGAAACGGUGAAAGCUAAUAUCUUUUGCUAAUGACGGUACCUGAAGAAUAAGCACCGGCUGACUACGUGCCAGCAGCCGCGGUAAUACGUAGGGUGCAAGCGUUAAUCGGAAUUACUGGGCGUAAAGCGUGCGCAGGCGGUUUUGUAAGUCUGAUGUGAAAUCCCCGGGCUCAACCUGGGAAUUGCAUUGGAGACUGCAAGGCUAGAAUCUGGCAGAGGGGGGUAGAAUUCCACGUGUAGCAGUGAAAUGCGUAGAUAUGUGGAGGAACACCGAUGGCGAAGGCAGCCCCCUGGGUCAAGAUUGACGCUCAUGCACGAAAGCGUGGGGAGCAAACAGGAUUAGAAACCCUAGUAGUCCCAUG
rnacentral:rRNA from 1 species